rnacentral:rRNA from 1 species
UACGUAGGGGGCAAGCGUUGUCCGGAUUUAUUGGGCGUAAAGAGCGUGUAGGCGGCCAUGUAGGUCCGUUGUGAAAACUCGAGGCUCAACCUCGAGACGCCGAUGGAAACCAUGUGGCUAGAGUCCGGAAGAGGAGAGUGGAAUUCCUGGUGUAGCGGUGAAAUGCGCAGAUAUCAGGAAGAACACCCGUGGCGAAGGCGGCUUCCUGGUCCAGCACCGACGUCAGGUACGAAAGCGUGGGGAGCAAACAGG